GAUCAUGGCUCAGAGCGAACGCUGGCGGCAGGCCUAACACAUGCAAGUCGAACGGAUCCUUCGGGAUUAGUGGCGGACGGGUGAGUAACACGUGGGAACGUGCCCUUUGGUUCGGAACAACUGAGGGAAACUUCAGCUAAUACCGAAUACGUCCUAACGGAGAAAGAUUUAUCGUCGAUAGAUUAGCCCGCGUUCGAUUAGCUAGUUGGUGGGGUAACGGCCCACCAAGGCGACGAUCGAUAGCUGUUCUGAGAGGAAGAUCAGCCACACUGGGACUGAGACACGGCCCAGACUCCUACGGGAGGCAGCAGUUGGGAAUCUUGGACAAUGGGGGAAACCCUGAUCCAGCCAUGCCGCGUGAGUGAUGAAGGCCUUCGGGUUGUAAAACUCUUUCGCGCACGACGAUAAUGACGGUAGUGCGAGAAGAAGCUCCGGCUAACUUCGUG
rnacentral:rRNA from 1 species